rnacentral:lncRNA from 1 species
GGGUAUAAGAUAUCUUUAGGUGCGUAUAAUUUCCUUAUUUUUGAUAUAUUAUUGGUCUAUCGAUCACAUUAUAUAUGAUAUACUUGGUAUUUCUGAAAUCAAUUAAUUGUGAAUAAAAAUUAGAAUUGGUUGCACUUAUAAGUGCAAACACAAACGUUACGACCCAAUGGAUCGGAACUACAUUCUCCAACCCCACCGAACGCCUGUUUACAACCGUCAAAGCAAAGUGCUCCGCCUCGACAACCCCACGUCUGCGUACAUAUUUUUGAAAUUCUUGCCGCCGUUAUCCCACCUUUUUCAUCAUAAAACAAUAACCAAAUACCAAAUUAAUACAAUGUUAUUAAUUCAUUAGUGGCGGAGACAUUUAACAUUAAAAAUAUUUAUUUUAAAAAUUUAAAAUCAAAACAAUAAAUUUUAAACACCUCACAUGCAACUCUAAACACUAAAUAAUAACGCUAAACUCCCUAAACACUGAAUUCCAACCUUCAAACAUUUAUCAUAAAAUCAGAUUCUUAAUCGUACUCCAAACUUUAACUUUUGACUAUAAAUAUAAAUUAACCAAUCAUAAAGUCCUUAAUUCGACUCUAAACGGUUACCACUAUGUCCUAAACCCUAAACACUAAACAAGAACCUCAAAACUCUUAGUUUUAAACAUAAUAUAUAACAAAAAUGUAAUAGAGUGUACCAUAUACACAUAUGUACCAUAGUCUUUUCCAUUCAUUAGUAUGUAUAUAAAUUUAUAACGGAUGCUUCGGUACCUAUGGGCGUAUAAGAUAUCUCCAGCACUAAAAAUUCACAUUCCAAAUAUUAAAAUACAAACAAUAAAUACCAAACACAUUACAAUAAACCCUAAACAGUAAAAAAUAAUAUUAAACACUUAAAUACUCAAUCAUAACCUGCAAACGCUACAUUAUAAACUCAUGCUCAAAUUAUAUUCCUAAUUCUACCUUUUGGCCAUAAACCCAAAAAGUAAACUGUAAAUCGUUUAACACGGUAUCGUAAACUCUUAACACUAAAUUAAAAUAUAAAAACUCUUAAUUUUAAGCACAAAAUAUAUCAAAUGAUGUCGUGGAUGGUACCAAGUAGCCGUAGCUACUAGAGCGAUAUCCAUGUAUAUAACUUUAUAUAAAUCUGAUUUUGAAUAAGAAACCACUAACAGUAACAAAAAUUCUUACCGAAUGACGUGAGGAGUAAGAAGGCCAGAAAGAAAUAUACUACAAAAGAUUUAGCCAUCUCCUUUCUCAACACUAACAACACCACCAACAACAACAAAAUUAGUGAUAUAAAAUUUUAGUUUUUU